rnacentral:rRNA from 1 species
AUUGAACGCUGGCGGCAGGCCUAACACAUGCGAGUCGAGCGGAUGAAGGGAGCUUGCUCCUGGAUUCAGCGGCGGACGGGUGAGUAAUGCCUAGGAAUCUGCCUGGUAGUGGGGGAUAACGUCCGGAAACGGGCGCUAAUACCGCAUACGUCCUGAGGGAGAAAGUGGGGGAUCUUCGGACCUCACGCUAUCAGAUGAGCCUAGGUCGGAUUAGCUAGUCGGUGGGGUAAAGGCCUACCAAGGCGACGAUCCGUAACUGGUCUGAGAGGAUGAUCAGUCACACUGGAACUGAGACACGGUCCAGACUCCUACGGGAGGCAGCAGUGGGGAAUAUUGGACAAUGGGCGAAAGCCUGAUCCAGCCAUGCCGCGUGUGUGAAGAAGGUCUUCGGAUUGUAAAGCACUUUAAGUUGGGAGGAAGGGCAGUAAGUUAAUACCUUGCUGUUUUGACGUUACCAACAGAAUAAGCACCGGCUAACUUCGUG